rnacentral:misc_RNA from 1 species
AACGCACCUUGCGCUCCUUGGUAUUCCGAGGAGCAUGCCUGUUUGAGUGUCAUUAAAUCAUCAAACUUUUCAAUUUUAUUAUUGAUAAGUUUGGACUUGGAAGUGUUGUUGGCUCUGGUCAACUCUUCUUAAAUGUAUUAGCCGGAAGCUCUUGUAACCGUCUAUAGGUGUGAUAAUUAUCUAUGCCUUUGACUGCUGCACUUAGUAUGAGCAUUCGCUUCUAACUGUCUACUUGUAGACAAUUUUUGACCAUUUGACCUCAAAUCAGGUAGGACUACCCGCUGAACUUAA